UAGAGUUUGAUCAUGGCUCAGAUUGAACGCUGGCGGCAUGCCUUACACAUGCAAGCCGAACGCGAAAGUAGGGGCAACCCUGCGAGUAGAGUGGCGAACGGGUGAGUAACACAUCGGAACGUACCCAGGAGUGGGGGACAACCUCGAGAAAUCGAGGCUAAUACCGCAUACGUCCUGAGGGAGAAAGCGGGGGAUUCGCAAGGACCUCGCGCUCAUGGAGCGGCCGAUGUCGGAUUAGCUAGUUGGCGGGGUAAAGGCCCACCAAGGCUACGAUCCGUAGCUGGUUUGAGAGAACGACCAGCCACACUGGGACUGAGACACGGCCCAGACUCCUACGGGAGGCAGCAGUGGGGAAUUUUGGACAAUGGGGGCAACCCUGAUCCAGCCAUGCCGCGUGAGUGAAGAAGGCCUUCGGGUUGUAAAGCUCUUUCGGCCGGAACGAAAUCGCGUACGUGAAUAAC
rnacentral:rRNA from 1 species